CGGUGACCAUAUCGGCAGGGAAACACCCGUUCCCAUCCCGAACACGGAAGUUAAGCCUGCUGGAGCCGAUGAUACUGCACCAUAAGGUGUGGGAAAGUAGGAAGUUGCCG
rnacentral:rRNA from 1 species